rnacentral:lncRNA from 1 species
CUUUCAUAAAUUUAUUUUGAAAAAAAAAUUUAAAAUCUGUGGGGACUGGGAAUAUAGCUCAGUGGUAGAGCACCUAUCAUAUUUCAGACCCUAGAUUUGAUCUAGAGUACCACACAUACACACAAAAAAAUGUGUAUGAAAGAGAAAAUACUCAUGGAAUUGAUCCAUCUUUAAUUAGGAGGCCAUUUUACUCAUAAAAGUCACACAAACACAACUCAAGUUCCUUAAGGAUAUGGGAAAAUGUAGCUAAUAGAAAAGGCCAGACAGUGCACAGUAAAAAUGAGCCCAAAAUGUAUCCUGGAUAUUGGUAUAAAAGUGGUGAAACUGCCAUAAAGGCUGCAAGUUUAGUUAAUAAUAUUGUCCCCAAGUCACUUUCCUAUUCUCAUCCAUGUACUACAGUUAGUUUUAGCUUUAGGUGAAAAAAAAGUCAAAAGCCACCUUCUUUUACCUCUUUUUGCAUCUUCCCUCCUCAGUAGGACCACAAUGAGCUCCCAUGGGGUUUUUGUUCUUGGGGGUGGGGGGGGUCCUCUUGAUUUGACUAAGGUGCUCCCUCUAAGAGGGGAGGAGCUUCCUACCCCUGCAGCCCAAGAUAGUUCCUAACCCUGGCCCCACAUAAGAAGAGUAAACAAGAGAUCCCCAUGAAAAAACAUCACGCUCAGUCACACAACCGGAGCAGAAGCACAGGGACAGGGUCAACGACAGGUACGCCAAUUUGAGAGAGUUCCCGCUUAUCCCUACACACAGCUCCUCAGGCUGUGGGGGUCUUUGCUGGCAUGAGUCCCUGUGGGAACAAAGCUACCUGCAAAUACACACAGGCAGUUCCACCUCAGGCUCACAGGGCGAUGUCCCUGUGCAAAGAGUCAGUCCCAGUCGCUCAUACCAGUCCUGGGGCUGGGAUUCGAGGGUCCAUCCCUGUCCCCCAACAUCACUCCUUCAGCCUGUCCAGGCCUUCUUUGGUCCUUAGAGCACCAACAAAUGGCCAACCCGCUGGAGUAGACAGGUCAGAGCCCAACCCAAGGCAGUGUCACAAUAGGCACCUGCUCCCCAACGCCUCAGGGACACAUCACUAGGCAACUGCUAGUUGAUUAUUACGACUGCAUCUAACGGCUCACAGCAAGCGCAUGCGCAGUUGCCAGACAGUCAAGACUAAGGACGCGGUCCCACCAGGAGGUAAAUGAAACAGACGAUUUGGGGAGGGGGGUCACAAAGGUCUCCACAUGGACAUUCAUUGACCCUGAAUUCAGUCACACUCUCAGAGCUGGGCUUAGGAAAGCCCAUUCUCUGUGACAACCCUCAGGGUCUUCUACGUCUUUGAACUGGCUGGUGGGGAACGUUAGGUCUGCGCCACCCAUUCCCACCUUCCAGGGGGACCAGACUCUGUUCAGGGAGGACCCAAGCAUUGAGAGAUCCACCUGUCUUUAGUAUCCCAGUGUCCACUUUUCCCAACAUAAUUUUUUUCAAAUGGCUAUCUUUUUUUUCCACUGAAUGUUUUGACACUCUUAUUGAAAAUCAUUUGUGAAUGUACAGGUGGGUUUAUUUCUAGAAUCUCAAGGCCAUUGGUCUAUGUGUCUAUGUGUACCCAGUACCACAUUGUUUUGUAGCUUUAUAGUAAAAUUUUAACAACUUUAUUUUACUUAUUUUUUAUGUUGAGGAUCGAACCCAGUACCUCACAAGUGCUAGGCAAGCGCUCUACCAUUGAGCCACAACCCCAGACCUAAAGUAAAUUUCAAAAUCA